CCCCCCUGAUCCCAUCCAUCUUCUUCGAGGACCUGAAGGAGCUGGCAUUGUGAAGUCUUGUUGCUUUGUCUUUUUCCUUCCUUCCUUCCCUCUGAUCCCCUUUGAUUCUACUCCCACAGUGUCUUCCAUGCAGGUUUUCAUGUGACUGCAUGUGUAAGCUCACUGUUUGCAUGCCUGCUUACAACUAAGGCCAGAUACUUGUACUGCCAGCCAAGGAAAAGCUGUGGAUCUAUGUAAGAAAUGCUGCUGAAAUUAUACAUCUCAGAGAACUGUGUUUGGCAAACUUCUUGAUGGAUCAGAUCAACCAACUUUGAAAUUGUGCCCUCCAAAAGCAAGCAAGCAAGCAAGCAAGCAAACAAACAAGUUUAUUUUGCAUUAGUUGAGGAAAGAGUAGAAUUACCUGAGAUCUUGUUAAAGGGUUCUAUUUUUACUAUCUGUAAGGAGGCACUUCUAAUUAUUAAAAUGUUGUGGAGAGAAAACAUGACUUUUAUGAUACAGUUUUGCCCCUACUUAGUGUAGAUUAUGCUAUUAUGAAAUUAACACUUAAGUAGAAUUAAAAAGACAAACCUACAACACUUCAAAGUCAGAUAUAAUUUGAAAAAACAUGGUCCUUCUAUAAAGGGUGACCUUAAUAUCAAAUGGCAGGCUUCUGACUCCAUAUACAUUACCCUAUUCAUUAAAUCGCUAAAGCUAGACACAUCAUAAAGAUGAAGGCUAGGCUUCUUCUCAUUACCAAUAACCUCCUGUAGAGUAUUUGCAAACUUAAA